CCUACGGGAGGCAGCAGUAGGGAAUCUUCCACAAUGGGCGAAAGCCUGAUGGAGCAACGCCGCGUGGGUGAAGAAGGUCUUCUGAUCGUAAAACCCUGUUGUUAGAGAAGAAAGUGCGUGAGAGUAACUGUUCACGUUUCGACGGUAUCUAACCAGAAAGCCACGGCUAACUACGUGCCAGCAGCCGCGGUAAUACGUAGGUGGCAAGCGUUAUCCGGAUUUAUUGGGCGUAAAGGGAACGUAGGCGGUCUGUUAAGUCUGAUGUGAAAGCCUUCGGCUUAACCGGGGUAGUGCAUUUGAAACUGGGAAACUUGAGUGCAGAAGAGGAGAGUGGAACUCCAGGUGUAGCGGUGAAAUGCGGAGAGAUAUGGAAGAACACCAGUGGCGAAAGCGGCUCUCUGGUCUGUAACUGACGCUGAGGUUCGAAAGCGUGGGUAGCAAACAGGAUUAGAGACCCGUGUAGUC
rnacentral:rRNA from 1 species